CCUACGGGAGGCAGCAGUGGGGAAUAUUGGACAAUGGGCGGAACCCUGAUCCAGCGACGCCGCGUGAGUGAAGAAGUAUUUCGGUAUGUAAAGCUCUAUCAGCAGGGAAGAAAGAAAUGACGGUACCUGACUAAGAACCCCCGGCUAACUACGUGCCAGCAGCCGCGGUAAUACGUAGGGGGCAACCGUUAUCCGGAUUUACUGGGGGUAAAGGGAGCGUAGACGGCGAUGCAAGUCUGAAGUGAAAGGCGGGGGCUCAACCCCCGGACUGCUUUGGAAACUGUAUGGCUGGAGUGCAGGAGAGGUAAGUGGAAUUCCUAGUGUAGCGGUGAAAUGCGUAGAUAUUAGGAGGAACACCAGUGGCGAAGGCGGCUUACUGGACUGUAACUGACGUUGAGGCUCGAAAGCGUGGGGAGCAAACAGGAUUAGAUACCCGUGUAGUC
rnacentral:rRNA from 1 species